AUAAUCCAAUUAGCGGAGGAAAAGAAACUAACAAGGAUUCCCCUAGUAACGGCGAGUGAAGCGGGAAGAGCUCAAAUUUGAAAUCUGGUAGCCUUCGGUUGCCCGAGUUGUAAUCUAGAGAAGUGUUUUCCGUGCCGGCCCAUGUACAAGUCCCUUGGAACAGGGCGUCAUAGAGGGUGAGAAUCCCGUCCUUGACAUGGACCCCCGGUGCUUUGUGAUACACUUUCAACGAGUCGAGUUGUUUGGGAAUGCAGCUCAAAAUGGGUGGUGAAUUCCAUCUAAAGCUAAAUAUUGGCGAGAGACCGAUAGCGAACAAGUACCGUGAGGGAAAGAUGAAAAGCACUUUGGAAAGAGAGUUAAACAGUACGUGAAAUUGUUGAAAGGGAAACGAUUGAAGUCAGUCAUGCUCUUAGGAUUCAGCCGUUCUGCGGUGUAUUUCCUUUGAGUGGGGUCAACAUCAGUUUUGAUCGAUGGAUAAAGGCACGAGGAAGGUAGCACUCUCGGGUGAACUUAUAGCCUCGCGUCAUAUACAUUGAUUGGGACUGAGGAACGCAGCAUGCCUUUAUGGCCGGGAUUCGUCCACGUACAUGCUUAGGAUGUUGACAUAAUGGCUUUAAACGACCCG
rnacentral:rRNA from 1 species